UGGGGAAUAUUGGACAAUGGGCGAAAGCCUGAUCCAGCCAUGCCGCGUGUGUGAAGAAGGUCUUCGGAUUGUAAAGCACUUUAAGUUGGGAGGAAGGGUUGUAGAUUAAUACUCUGCAAUUUUGACGUUACCGACAGAAUAAGCACCGGCUAACUCUGUGCCAGCAGCCGCGGUAAUACAGAGGGUGCAAGCGUUAAUCGGAAUUACUGGGCGUAAAGCGCGCGUAGGUGGUUAGUUAAGUUGGAUGUGAAAUCCCCGGUCUCAACCUGGGAACUGCAUUCAAAACUGACUGACUAGAGUAUGGUAGAGGGUGGUGGAAUUUCCUGUGUAGCGGUGAAAUGCGUAGAUAUAGGAAGGAACACCAGUGGCGAAGGCGACCACCUGGACUGAUACUGACACUGAGGUGCGAAAGCGUGGGGAGCAAACA
rnacentral:rRNA from 1 species